rnacentral:rRNA from 1 species
UACGGGGGGGGUAAGCGUUGUUCGGAAUUACUGGGCGUACAGGGCUCGUAGGCGGCCACCUAAGUCAGACGUGAAAUCCCUCAGCUUAACUGGGGAACUGCGUCUGAUACUGGAUGGCUUGGAUCCGGGAGAGGGAUGCGGAAUUCCAGGUGUAGCGGUGAAAUGCGUAGAUAUCUGGAGGAACACCGGUGGCGAAGGCGGGUCUCUGGGCCGAUACUGACGCUGAGGAGCGAAAGCGUGGGGAGCGAACAGG